rnacentral:rRNA from 5 species
AAACGACUCUCGGCAACGGAUAUCUCGGCUCACGCAUCGAUGAAGAACGUAGCAAAAUGCGAUACUUGGUGUGAAUUGCAGAAUCCCGUGAACCAUCGAGUUUUUGAACGCAAGUUGCGCCCGAAGCCAUUCGGCCGAGGGCACGCCUGCCUGGGCGUCACGC